CUAGCGGCGGACGGGUUAGUAACGCGUGGGAACGUACCCAAAGGUAGGGAAUAGCCACUGGAAACGGUGAGUAAUACCCUAUGUGCCCUUCGGGGGAAAGAUUUAUCGCCUUUGGAUCGGCCCGCGUUAGAUUAGAUAGUUGGUGGGGUAACGGCCUACCAAGUCUACGAUCUAUAGCUGGUUUUAGAGGAUGAUCAGCAACACUGGGACUGAGACACGGCCCAGACUCCUACGGGAGGCAGCAGUGGGGAAUCUUGGACAAUGGGGGCAACCCUGAUCCAGCCAUGCCGCGUGAGUGAUGAAGGCCUUAGGGUCGUAAAGCUCUUUCGCCUGUGAAGAUAAUGACUGUAGCAGGUAAAGAAACCCCGGCUAACUCCGUGCCAGCAGCCGCGGUAAUACGGAGGGGGUUAGCGUUGUUCGGAAUUACUGGGCGUAAAGCGCGCGUAGGCGGACUGGAAAGUUGGGGGUGAAAUCCCAGGGCUCAACCCUGGAACUGCCUC
rnacentral:rRNA from 1 species